UACGAAGGGGGCGAGCGUUGUUCGGAUUUACUGGGCGUAAAGGGCGCGCAGGCGGCGGACCAAGUCAGGCGUGAAAGCCCCGGGCUUAACCUGGGAGGUGCGCCUGGGACUGGUACGCUAGAGUUCGGGAGAGGAGAGUGGAAUUCCCAGUGUAGAGGUGAAAUUCGUAGAUAUUGGGAAGAACACCGGUGGCGAAGGCGGCUCUCUGGACCGAGACUGACGCUGAGGCGCGAAAGCGUGGGGAGCAAACAGG
rnacentral:rRNA from 1 species